rnacentral:tRNA from 1 species
GAGGGUAUAGCUCAGUGGUAGAGUGUGUGCUUAGCAUGUACUAGGUCCUGAGUUCGUUUCCUAGUAACUCCA